UACAGAGGAGCCAAGCGUUGUCCGGAUUGACUGGGCGUAAAGCGCACGCAGGCGGACGCGCGCGUGGGGUGUGAAAUCUGGCCGCUUAACGGCCAGGCGCCAUCCCAUACGGCGCGUCUGGAGUGAUGCAGAGGUCGGUGGAAUUGCCGGUGUAGUGGUGAAAUGCGUAGAUAUCGGGAAGAACACCAACGGCGAAGGCACUCUGCUGGGCCGACACUGACACUAAGAGACGAAAGCUAGGGUAGCGAAUGGG
rnacentral:rRNA from 1 species